rnacentral:tmRNA from 1 species
GGGGCCGAAGUGGCAUUCGACCGGAUAGGGAAGGCUUUGUGUGGCGAGUCGAGGAGCGUGUUAGCCUCGUAAAAAGUACGCAAAAAUUUAUCUGCAGAACCGCAGUACGCACUCGCAGCCUAAUACAGGUUACGGAUCACGGACAUGACGCUUGAUAGUGUCUGUGAUCAAGAUUAUCGAGCUGGUCAAUACCUGGUGUCUCUUGGGGUGUUGGCGAGGAGGUUUCGAGGGGCUGGACCGAAGCACAGGGCGUCAUCUCCCGGUGCAAGGUCGAGAUUAAACAGAUGACUACACUCGUAGAGGCAUAUUGCUGACUAUCCCGGCACGGGGGUUCGAUUCCCCCCGGCUCCAU